UACGGAGGGUGCAAGCGUUAUCCGGAUUUACUGGGUUUAAAGGGUGUGUAGGCGGGCUGUUAAGUCAGUGGUGAAAUCUCCGGGCUCAACCCGGAAACUGCCAUUGAUACUAAUGGUCUUGAAUUUUGUUGAGGUAGGCGGAAUAAGUCAUGUAGCGGUGAAAUGCUUAGAUAUGAUGUAGAACACCGAUUGCGAAGGCAGCUCACAAAAUCGCAACUGACGCUGAGGCACGAAAGCGUGGGGAGCAAACAGG
rnacentral:rRNA from 1 species